ACCAGACUCCUACGGGAGGCAGCAGUGGGGAAUAUUGCACAAUGGGGGAAACCCUGAUGCAGCGACGCCGCGUGAGUGAAGAAGUAUUUCGGUAUGUAAAGCUCUCUCAGCAGGGAAGAAAAUGACGGUACCUGACUAAGAAGCCCCGGCUAACUACGUGCCAGCAGCCGCGGUAAUACGUAGGGGGCAAGCGUUAUCCGGAUUUACUGGGUGUAAAGGGAGCGUAGACGGCAUGGCAAGUCAGAUGUGAAAGCCCGGGGCUCAACCCCGGGACUGCAUUUGAAACUGUCAGGCUGGAGUGCAGGAGAGGUAAGUGGAAUUCCUAGUGUAGCGGUGAAAUGCGUAGAUAUUAGGAGGAACACCAGUGGCGAAGGCGGAUUGCUGGACAGUAACUGACGCUGAGGCGCGAAAGCGUGGGGAGCAAACAGGAUUAGAUACCCGAGUA
rnacentral:rRNA from 1 species